AUGCUCGCUUAGGCAGCACAUAUAUGGAAAUUGGAACAAUACAGAAAAGAUUAGCAUAGCCCCUGCACAAGGAUGACACACAAAUUCAUGAAGCAUUCCAUAUUUUU